rnacentral:rRNA from 1 species
GACGAACGCUGGCGGCGUGCUUAGCACAUGCAAGUCGAACGGUAAGGCUCCAGCUUGCUGGGGUACACGAGUGGCGAACGGGUGAGUAACACGUGGGUGACCUGCCCUGCACUUCGGGAUAAGCCUGGGAAACUGGGUCUAAUACCGGAUAGGACCGCACUGUGAGGGUGUGGUGGAAAGUUUUUUCGGUGUGGGAUGGGCCCGCGGCCUAUCAGCUUGUUGGUGGGGUAAUGGCCUACCAAGGCGGCGACGGGUAGCCGGCCUGAGAGGGUGGACGGCCACAUUGGGACUGAGACACGGCCCAGACUCCUACGGGAGGCAGCAGUGGGGAAUAUUGCACAAUGGGCGGAAGCCUGAUGCAGCGACGCCGCGUGGGGGAUGACGGCCUUCGGGUUGUAAACUCCUUUCACCAUCGACGAAGGGUUUCUGACGGUAGAUGGAGAAGAAGCACCGGCUAACUACGUGCCAGCAGCCGCGGUAAUACGUAGGGUGCGAGCGUUGUCCGGAAUUACUGGGCGUAAAGAGCUCGUAUGUGGUUUGUCGCGUCGUCUGUGAAAUUCCGGGGCUUAACUCCGGGCGUGCAGGCGAUACGGGCAUAACUUGAGUACUGUAGGGGAGACUGGAAUUCCUGGUGUAGCGGUGCAAAUGCGCAGAUAUCAGGAGGAACACCGGUGGCGAAGGCGGGUCUCUGGGCAGUAACUGACGCUGAGGAGCGAAAGCAUGGGGAGCGAACAGGGAUUAGAUACCCUGGUAGUCCAUGCCGUAAACGGUGGGCGCUAGGUGUGGGUUUCCUUCCACGGGAUCCGUGCCGUAGCUAACGCAUUAAGCGCCCCGCCUGGGGAGUACGGCCGCAAGGCUAAAACUCAAAGGAAUUGACGGGGGCCCGCACAAGCGGCGAAGCAUGUGGAUUAAUUCGAUGCAACGCGAAGAACCUUACCUGGGCUUGACAUAUACAGGAUCGCGCCAGAGAUGGUGUUUCCCUUGUGGCUUGUAUACAGGUGGUGCAUGGUUGUCGUCAGCUCGUGUCGUGAAAUGUUGGGUUAAGUCCCGCAACGAGCGCAACCCUUGUCUUAUGUUGCCAGCACGUUGUGGUGGGGACUCGUAAGAAACUGCCGGGGUUAACUCGGAGGAAGGUGGGGAUGACGUCAAAUCAUCAUGCCCCUUAUGUCCAGGGCUUCACACAUGCUACAAUGGUCGGUACAGUGGGUUGCCAGUCCGUGAGGGCGAGCUAAUCCCGCAAAGCCGGUCUCAGUUUGGAUCGGGGUCUGCAACUCGACCCCGUGAAGUCGGAGUCGCUAGUAAUCGCAGAUCAGCAACGCUGCGGUGAAUACGUAUCCCGGGCCU